rnacentral:tRNA from 1 species
GCGGGAAUGGCGAAAUUGGUAGACGCACCAGACUUAGGAUCUGGCGCCGCAAGGCGUGGAGGUUCAAAUCCUCUUUCCCGCACCA